GGCCUCGGCCCGAGUUGUAAUUUGCAGAGGAUGCUUCUGGCGCGGUGCCUUCCGAGUUCCCUGGAACGGGACGCCACAGAGGGUGAGAGCCCCGUAUGGUCGGACACCAAGCCUGUGUGAAGCUCCUUCGACGAGUCGAGUAGUUUGGGAAUGCUGCUCUAAAUGGGAGGUAAAUCUCUUCUAAAGCUAAAUACCGGCCAGAGACCGAUAGCGCACAAGUAGAGUGAUCGAAAGAUGAAAAGCACCUUGAAAAGGGGGUUAAAUAGUACGUGAAAUUGUUGAAAGGGAAGCACUUGUGACCAGACUUGGGCCGGGCGGCUCAUCAGGGGUUCUCCCCUGUGCACUCCGCCCGGCACAGGCCAGCAUCGGUUCUCGUGGGGGGAUAAGACCGUCAGGAACGUAGCACCCUCCGGGGUGUGUUAUAGCCUGGCGGACGAUACCCCCGUGGGGACCGAGGUUCGCGCUCCGCAAGGAUGCUGGCGUAAUGGUCACCAGUGACCCGUCUUGAAACACGGACCAAGGAGUCGUCCAUUAGAGCGAGCGUUUGGGUGUAAAACCCGCACGCGUAAUGAAAGUGAACGCAGGUGAGAGCUUCGGCGCAUCAUCGACCGAUCCUGAUGUUCUCGGAAGGAUUUGAGUAAGAGUUUUAACGGACGGACCCGAAAGACAGUGAACUAUGCUUGUAUAGGGUGAAGCCAGAGGAAACUCUGGUGGAGGCUCGCAGCGGUUCUGACGUGCAAAUCGAUCGUCAAAUAUGAGCAUGGGGGCGAAAGACUAAUCGAACUGUCUAGUAGCUGGUUACCGCCGAAGUUUCCCUCAGGAUAGCAGUGUUGAUCUUCAGUUUUAUGAGGUAAAGCGAAUGAUUAGGGACUCGGGGGCGCUAUAUAGCCUUCAUCCAUUCUCAAACUUUAAAUAUGUAAGAAGCCCUUGUUACUUAGUUGAACGUGGGCAUUCGAAUGUACCAACACUAGUGGGCCAUUUUUGGUAAGCAGAACUGGCGAUGCGGGAUGAACCGAACGCGGGGUUAAGGCGCCAGAGUGUACGCUCAUCAGACACCACAAAAGGCGUUAGUACAUCUUGACAGCAGGACGGUGGCCAUGGAAGUCGGAAUCCGCUAAGGACUGUGUAACAACUCACCUGCCGAAUGUACUAGCCCUGAAAAUGGAUGGCGCUCAAGCGUACCGCCCAUACCCCGCCCCCAGGGUAGAAACGAUGCCCUGGGGAGUAGG
rnacentral:rRNA from 1 species